rnacentral:lncRNA from 1 species
CAUCAGCUCUUUAGUCCAAUCUGAGGUACUAGAAGAUGCCAUAACUAAAAGAAAUGUACACAGAUAAAGACUGCACUUGAAUCAAGACCUGAUGCCUUGCCUUGGUCAAAGCUACUCUGAAAUGGUACAGAUUACCUUGAUGCUUCCGAAAGGCAGCUCAGUGCAGGACACCACUUUCUAAGAGUCUCUGUUAUGCUGCUCAUCGGUCAUGCUGAGAAAAAUCGAUCUGUUUAUGCACUGCCCUUUUGCUCUUAACCUAGUCUGAAGGAAGGAAAAACAUGCAACCUAUGGAUUACUAGCUAAUAAUAAUUUUUUUUUUUUUUUUUUUUUAAAGCUAACAAAAGGCUGAAAUAAAAAUGCUAUCUCUUUCUGAAUUAUACUGGAA